GUCAAUUAAGAAAACUGAAAUUUCCAUUUAGGACUUGAAUUUUGUUACAUAUAUCAUCAAAGUCCAUCCACAUUCCACACAGACAAAAGAAAAAGGAUGUGUGGAGAAUGAUAUUGUAUAUGACUCUUCUCCUUUCUCUCCACCACCAUCUUUUCAUUAUGCCUCUAGUCUCUUCCCUGUUCUCCUUUUUUUUAAGAAAAAAAAAAUUAUUUGAUUGAUUCAUUUUGCUCCUCUAACUUAAUCUCUUUCACACUCUGAUAUCUAUGCAUCUAUAUUACUUCAUUUUGAGUUUGAAUCAAUUAGAUUAUAUUGUUAAAGUCGAAUCAUCCUAGAUUUGUUAAGUAUUUAGAUUUUAUAUUUAAGUUAAAUUUAUUUAUCAAUUGUCAAUUAAUUUUAAAUUGGAUGCUUAAGAUAAUAUUAAAAUCUUAAUUCUAUUAUAUUAUUCUUGCAUGUUACUUGUAUCUAUUAUUCCUUUGAAGUUUGUCAUGUGGUAAACUUUUGUCUCUACUUAUACAUGAUUGGAAAUGUUAAACUAGUAUUAUCUUACAUCUGCUAGAUAUUGAGUUUUUUGUGAUCUUGAAUUUAAGUUGGAUUUCUCUAUCUUUUACCAAUAAUUUUUGGUUCGAUACUUAAUAUAUAAAAUAUAUAUUUUCUUAAUGAAGUGCAUUAAUAUUUAUUAUACUAAAUUUUAUAAUGAACAUCUACUUUAAAUCAAUCAGUAAUAGAUGAAGUUACUUUUGAUAUGUUUAUGUGUUCAUGUUCCUUUAAUUUAAGAGAUUUGAAAUUUAUCUCCAUUUUAAUACUUCCUUUUCAUUAUAAGUGUGUUAUAUUUACUAUAUGAAAUUAAUAUCUUAUGAUAGGUCCAUUAUUUCCGUUUCAAUACUUUCCUUUCAUAAUAAUUGUGUUAUAUUUACCAUAUGAAAUUAAAAUCUCACAGUGAGUCUGUCAUUGUUGUCCUACAUAUGUAAGGGGUAUUGAAGUGGUCAUAUGAAUUAGUUUGGGGUUGUCCCUAACACAAAUAUAACAGGAACCAUUAAAUUUAUAUUCAUUGAUUUUAUGAUCAUUUUAAAAUUUAAUGCUUUUUUUUUAUCCUCUUAGCGUCACUAUAUAAGAAUUCCAAUAUAUACCAUUUACACAAAUUUUAUCGAUGUAUGAUAGCCAAUCAAUAUUGUUUGGGAAAUUUGAAAUCUUAUUAGGCUAGGAGCUAUGUAAAAGGAUUUGAAAGUCUUCUCACAUUUAAACAAUCUAAUGUCACUCGAUCUCUUCAGUAGAAUUAAAUAAAUAAUGAAGUAAAUGAUUAUUGCAAGCUACAAAGUGUUAUGAAUUAAAAGGAGAAGGGAAUUGAAAUUACUCAAUAUAUAAAUAAAUUAUAGCAGUUUUGUCAAUUUAAAGUUACCUACAUCCACUACCUUAACUACCUAUUCCAGGAUUUUUUUUUCAACCAUUCACAGUUUCAUCAAACGAUCUUGGCAAUGAUCAAAUUAUACAUAAAUCAUAAUUACAGGCAAAUAUAUGAAGUUAAUGAGGUAGGAUAGAGCUAUGACUAUAAUGUGAAAUUUGAAAUGAUGUAUUCGAAAGUUAGAUCUAUCAAAUUUAGCACAAAAACUGAAAAUAAUAUAAAAUUUUGACAAAAUUAUAUUUAUUUGAUAAAAAUAAAAAAAAUGUAUUUCAUAUUUGCUGUAUUGACAUGAAUUACUGUCAUAACAAUUUUAGAGACCGCUAGAUGAAAAUUUUAAAAUGUUUCUAAACAAGAGGAAAUAGCUACCAAUCUUUUUUUCAAGUGUGAUUGACCGCCUAAAAAGCUUAUCUUUUUAAUAAAAUAAUAAAACAAGUUUAGAGAUUAUCAAAAGGAUAUUUUGGGUCUACAAAAUUAGGGUUAAGUUCAAGAGUUGAUUACACAUAAAGAAUGAUUAGCACCUUUAUAACCCUUAUAAAAAUUGAUACCAAUUGAUCAUAUGUUAUCCUAACUAUUAAAAAAAAUAUCUUAAUUUUAAUAUUUAAAAAAUGAUUCCUUCUUUUUUUUCAUCUUUUAAACUUUUUAUUUAGAGAUAAGAUGAAAAUCUUUAGUAUUGAAACGUUUUCUAAUUCUCCAAUAUCUAGAUAGAACUUCAAAAAAUGCUUCUUUACUUAGGACUUUCAUACUAAUCCUUAAAAAUCCAACCUAAUAUUGCCUUAUAAAAAAAUAAGUAUUGAGAAACCCUCCAAUAUCUAGACAAGGUCCCAAAAAAUUAUUUUUUACUUACAAAUAUUAGUUUUUAUUUAAUUUAAAAAUAAUUCUCCAAAAAUCACCAUUUACUUAUUUUUUGAAAACAAUGGAAUGUGAGCAAAUAUCAUAUGAAGCAAGAUGUACGAUACAACUUAAAUGUAGGCAAUCAAUGAAAUUCAUCUAAUAUACAUUUAAAUUUAAUUCGUUUUAUUUAGAAAUACAAUGAGAAUCCUUAGUUUCAAAAAAUUUCCUAAUUCCCCAAUAUCAAUGUGGAAUUUUGGAAAGUUUUUCUCUACUUAGAAUUAGUAUGAUAUUCCUUAAAAUUUUGCAUAAUAUUCCUCCGUAAAAAGUAAUUAUUGAAAAGUCUUCCACUAUUUAAACAGUCUCUAAACAAUUAUUUUCAUGUAGGCAUAUUAACCUUUUUUCAAAUUUCAAUUACUAAUUCACAUUUUUUAUUUCAAGUCAUAAUGUAACAAGAAAUAAGUAAAUAAUGCAAAUACAACAAUUAACCAAUUUGAUCUAUCUUAUAUGUAUUUAACCCUACUUCUUAUUGUGAUCUUUUUUUAAAGGAAAAUCAAGGGUGAAAUUUUUAUUUUUCAUUUAUUUUUUUGUGACGAAGAAUGUUCUUUAAUUCCCUAAUAUCUAGGUGAAAUUUUUGAAAAUUGAUCCUUUGAAAUAAGAUUUGGUUUCCUUCCAAUAUCUAGACAAAGUUUUCAAAAUCAUUUUUCUCUUAAAGAUAUCAAUUUAUUUUUGUUUCCAGAAAUCUCUUUUUAAAAAAAAAUCAUUUUUGAAUCAUAAAAUUAUUAUCUUCCAUUUUUUACUCAAGUUACAAUUUUAUUUUAUCAAUCACCCACAAACAAAUUAGUUUAAAAAAUAUAUCUACAUACAUUUUAUUUAUCAUUACAAUUAUUGUUUCCCAAAAUUUUU
rnacentral:lncRNA from 1 species